CCCGGUGAAUUUAUUUUUUAAACGGCCGCAGUUUGGAGCUGUGCUAAGGUAGCGUAAUAAUUUGUCCUUUAAUUGAGGAAAGGAAUUAAAGGUUUGACGUAAUGACUUCUGUCUCCAGAUUAAAAAAAGAAUUUUUCUUUUCGGUGAAAAGCCCGAAGUAUUUUAAAAAGACGAGAAGACCCUAUCGAGUUUGAAUAACCUUUGUUUAAAAAUUUUGGUAAAGUUUAAUUGGGGCAAUUUAGGAGCAAAUUAAGACUCCUUAAACUAUUAUAAGAUCCAAAACCAUUUUGAUAAAUAGAAAAAGCUACCGUAGGGAUAACAGCGUAAUCUUUUUUGAGAGAACAAAUUGAAGAAAAG
rnacentral:rRNA from 1 species